GGUAUGCUUCCAAAUAGCUUGUUAUGUGAAAGGUCCAAGAUUUGGAGUGAAGUUAGAGAACAAAGUUGUUUCGGUAUGGGGCCAUGGAAAUUGUUUGAGCGAAGGUUGAGAAUGAUCAAGCUUGAAUGUCUUUGUCCUAUCCAUGAAGGUAUGAUUCCAAAAAACUUAUUCUCACUGAUAUCAAUAAUCUCCAAAUCA